AAUAAAAUUGGAUUGUGUGAAUGAGAAAUUAGGCCUUAAUGGUUUGGCCUUGCUUAAGAUGGAGCUCCAAGAGAAGUGGGUCAGAUUGGAUAGAGUCAAAACUCUGUUUCACGAUCCGUGAGACUUGGUCUCUUUGUUUUCGUGAUCAAGUGGAGAGUUGUGGAGAGUUGGAUUUCUUUGAGAGAUCGUCGCUUCUUCACGUCGCCCACCUCCUAGAUUUGCGAUGGACUAGGUAAGGUUGUGGAGAAUCUAUUUCAAACCCAAGUCAUCCAAGACCUCUAUAUAAACACAAGUUCAAGUCUCAUUGAAGCCGAUCACCGAUCGAGAAGAUAAAAAAAGACUUAGAACAGAAACAUCCAGCAAUCUCUCUCUCAAAAACGUGUAGCAAAUUUCUAGCUCCUACAAGAGCUACGGUAGGGGUCGUGAGAGAAGCGAUCAGGGGGAAGGUGGUGUUGGCGUGAGAGGAAGAGAAGGAUCGAGCCAUGUUUUGUUGUUCGUGUUGGUUGCCGCUGUUUGUGAACCACGAGACUCUCGUUAUGCACAACCUGUGUCUUCACGUGUCACGUCUUCACCGCAGGCCAAACAGGUGUUGUUGAUAAGAUGAACUUUGGUGAAUUAAUUAAAUAAAGGAGCUUCGCUUGUGGUGUGAGAGAAGAGAGAGAACAAGACACAACGAGGUGGGGAAGCCUCUUGUGGGUCUGUUUCAUGUUAUGGCUGUGGGAAGCUUCAUUAGUGGUGUGAGAACUGAGCCGGAGUGAACAGAGAUGAAGAGGAGAAAGAAAGUGAAAGAAAGGUUGGAGAUGAAGGCAGUGUGGUGAAACCGACUUUGGAGGCUUCCCGGCGCUGGAUAUGACAUUGUUUAGAAAGGUGAUGUUACCGGCAUGAUUUGCACCAAACAAAGAUUCCAUAGAAGCUGACAGAGGUUCACUAGAAGUUAACCUCAAGGAGUUAUGUGCGUUGCUUCCCAGCCAAGUAAUUGCUGGAAACUGUCACGUCUUUGCUCCGUAGCCGGUUUUGUUUGAAAUUAUCUCUUAUUGUAAUCAGAAGAACUUUAUCAAAACAGAAAGACUUUGGACGACAGAGCACAGAAUAUAAACUGGAAAAUGUUAUUGUAUUUUACAGAGACACAUUUAUGUAACUAAAAGUACAACUUUUCGGAAACUAACACCAUUUUAUAGUAGUGACGGUUAUGUUGA